UACAGAGGGUGCAAGCGUUGUUCGGAAUUAUUGGGCGUAAAGCGCGUGUAGGCGGCUUUGCAAGUCGGGUGUGAAAGCCCUCAGCUUAACUGAGGAAGUGCGCCCGAAACUGCAUGGCUUGAGUACCGGAGAGGAUGGUGGAAUUCCCCAAGUAGAGGUGAAAUUCGUAGAUAUGGGGAGGAACACCGGUGGCGAAGGCGACCAUCUGGACGGAUACUGACGCUGAGACGCGAAAAGCGUGGGUAGCAAACAGGG
rnacentral:rRNA from 1 species